AUUGAACGCUAGCGGGAUGCUUUAUACAUGCAAGUCGAACGGAGUGGCGAACGGGUGAGUAAUGUAUCGGAACGUGCCCAGUAGCUGGGGAUAACUACGCGACAGCGUAGCUAAUAUCGUAUCCUAUUGGCGCGGCCGACAUCGGAUUAGCUAGUUGGUGAGGUAACGGCUUACCAAGGCGACGAUCCGUAGCUGGUUUGCGAGGACGACCAGCCACACUGGAACUGAGACACGGCCCAGACUCCUACGGGAGGCAGCAGUGGGGAAUUUUGGACAAUGGGGGCAACCCUGAUCCAGCCAUCCCGCGUGUGCGAUGAAGGCCUUCGGGUUGUAAAGCACUUUUGGCAGGAAAGCGGUACCUGCAGAAUAAGCACCGGCUAACUACGUGCCAGCAGCCGCGGUAAUAC
rnacentral:rRNA from 1 species